rnacentral:rRNA from 1 species
UACGCAGGGAGCUAGCGUUGUUCGGAAUCACUGGGCGUAAAGCGCACGUAGGCGGAUGUGUCAGUCAGGGGUGAAAUCCCGGAGCUCAACUUCGGAACUGCCUUUGAUACAGCACGUCUUGAGUCCGAUAGAGGUGGGUGGAAUUCCUAGUGUAGAGGUGAAAUUCGUAGAUAUUAGGAAGAACACCGGUGGCGAAGGCGGCCCACUGGAUCGGUACUGACGCUGAGGUGCGAAAGCGUGGGGAGCAAACAGG